UGGGAUGUUAUCCCUCCGAUAGCCGGUAUAUGGGAUGUUAUCCCUCCGAUAGCCGGUAUAUGGGAUGUUACCCCACCAAUAGCCGGUAUAUGGGAUGUUACCCCACCAAUAGCCGGUAUAUGGGAUGUUACCCCACCAAUAGCCGGUAUAUGGGAUGUUACCCCUCCAAUAGCCGGUAUAUGGGAUGUUACCCCUCCAAUAGCCGGUAUAUGGG